UACGGAGGGUGCGAGCGUUAAUCGGAAUUACUGGGUGUAAAGCGUGCGUAGGCGGUUAUCUAAGUCAGAUGUGAAAGCCCCGGGCUUAACCUGGGAAUUGCAUUUGAUACUGGGUGACUAGAGUUGAGUAGAGGAGAGUGGAAUUUCAGGUGUAGCGGUGAAAUGCGUAGAGAUCUGAAGGAACACCAGUGGCGAAGGCGGCUCUCUGGACUCAAACUGACGCUGAGGUACGAAAGCGUGGGUAGCAAACAGG
rnacentral:rRNA from 1 species